rnacentral:rRNA from 1 species
UACAGAGGUCUCAAGCGUUGUUCGGAUUCAUUGGGCGUAAAGGGUGCGUAGGCGGCGCGGUAAGUCGGGUGUGAAAUCUCGGAGCUUAACUCCGAAACUGCAUUCGAUACUGCCGUGCUUGAGGACUGGAGAGGAGACUGGAAUUUACGGUGUAGCGGUGAAAUGCGUAGAUAUCGGAAGGAACACCAGUGGCGAAGGCGGGUCUCUGGACAGUUCCUGACGCUGAGGCACGAAGGCCAGGGGAGCAAACAGG